AUCCAAUCUGAUCCGUCUGAGAGAUAUGAGAAUUAAUUGCUGACAAGCGACAGGCCUAAAGCACAGAAACAUGAGCGUUUCAGAUACUUAUAAAUUCUCUUUUUAGUGGACAAGACCGCGAGUAUGUUUUUAAAGAGGGGUUAUUAAACACGAAUCUGUUUCUGAAAGUGUUUUUCGUAUUUCUUCUUCUGUGUUAUGCUGUUGUUUUGUGAUGUGAAAUCGAAAGUAUUUUUAACCAGACAUUUCUCCGCUUGUUGAGUGUGACGUCACCGCUUCCGUGUCCAAUCAGAUCUCACGAGAAAACAACAAAAGGUCACACUGAACAGCAGAUUGUUGUCUCAAGCCAGUGCUGAUCAAUGACAGUUUAUCUGCAGUAUGACAGAGAAGAGAGGAAAGAUGAGUCUCUCACAGAAACAGAGUGUAAGAUCAGGAUCCCGUGCGUCCAGCUCUGUGUCUGUGAAGAGUGACUGGUCAAAAGAGGAUCCACCGAACUUCAGUGAGAAAAAAACACCAUCUACCAAAAG